ACACUGCAGACGGCUNCNUAACACGUGGUCAAGCUAACCUAUGGACGUGGAUAACCUCGGGAAACUGAGAAUAAACCGCGAUGGAUCAUGAUGCCUGGAAUGGCUUAUGGUCGAAAUAGUUUACUGCCAUAGGAUGCGACUGCGGCCUAUCAGUUAGUUGGUGAGGUAAUGGCCCACCAAGACUAUUACAGGUACGGGCUCUGAGAGGAGAAGCCCGGAGAUGGGUACUGAGACACGGACCCAGGCCCUAUGGGGCGCAGCAGGCGAGAAACCUUAGCAAUGUGCGAAAGCACGACUGGGUUAGUCCGAGUGAUUCCUGCUAAAGGAAUCUUUUGCCGGUCCUAAAAGCACCGGUGAAUAAGGGGUGGGCAAGUCUGGUGUCAGCCGCCGCGGUAAUACCAGCACCUCGAGUGAUCAGGACGUUUAUUGGGCCUAAAGCAUCCGUAGCUGGCUUUGCAAGUCUCCGGNUUAAAUCAACCUGCUCAACAGAUUGGCCGCUGGAGAUACUACAAGGCUAGGGAGUGGGAGANGCAGACGGUAUUCGGGGGGGUAGGGGU
rnacentral:rRNA from 1 species